GACAAAGGAAGAUGGUGAUGUCUAGGCGAGUGCGCAGUCUAGUGCCUGUUAGCAUAGCUCUCCCGUUGGUUUAUGGCCUGUGCGCCUAUCUAGUUGUAG